UACAGAGGUCUCAAGCGUUGUUCGGAUUCAUUGGGCGUAAAGGGUGCGUAGGCGGCGCGGUAAGUCGGGUGUGAAAUCUCGGGGCUUAACUCCGAAACUGCAUUCGAUACUGCCGUGCUUGAGGACUGGAGAGGAGACUGGAAUUUACGGUGUAGCGGUGAAAUGCGCAGAUAUCAGGAAGAACACCCGUGGCGAAGGCGGCUCUCUGGGACGGUACUGACGCUGAGACGCGAAAGCGUGGGGAGCGAACAGG
rnacentral:rRNA from 1 species